UUUGGCACAGGUGCUGCAUGGCUGUCGUCAGCUCGUGUCGUGAGAUGUUCGGUUAAGUCCGCUAACGAGCGCAACCCUCGCUGUGUGUUAUAUGUGUCACACGGGACUGCCGGUCUUAAGCCGGAGGAAGGUGGGGAUGAUGUCAAGUCAGCAUGGCCUUUAUAUCCUGGGCUACACACACGCUACAAUGGCCAACACAAUAGGUUGCUAAGCCGCGAGGUGGCGCCAAUCCAUAAAGUUGGUCUCAGUUCAGAUUGUAGGCUGCAACCCGCCUGCAUGAAGAUGGAGUUGCUAGUAACCGCAGGUCAGCUGUACUGCGGUGAAUACGUUCCCGGGGCUU
rnacentral:rRNA from 1 species